rnacentral:rRNA from 1 species
GAGAGGAACUUGUUCCUCGAGUCGUUGAUUUCACACUGCCGAGAAAAGCCUCUAGCUAGAAUAACGGUGCCCGUACCGCAAACCGACACAGGUAGUCAAGAUGAGAAUUCUAAGGUGAGCGAGCGAACUCUCGUUAAGGAACUCGGCAAAAUGACCCCGUAACUUCGGGAGAAGGGGUGCUCUUUGAGGUUCACGCUUCGAAGAGCCGCAGUGAAUAGGCCCAAGCGACUGUUUAUCAAAAACACAGGUCUCUGCUAAACCGUAAGGUGACGUAUAGGGGCUGACGCCUGCCCGGUGCUGGAAGGUUAAGAGGAGUGGUUAGCGCAAGCGAAGCUACGAAUCGAAGCCCCAGUAAACGGCGGCCGUAACUAUAACGGUCCUAAGGUAGCGAAAUUCCUUGUCGGGUAAGUUCCGACCCGCACGAAAGGCGUAACGAUUUGGGCACUGUCUCAACGAGAGACUCGGUGAAAUCAUAGUACCGGUGAAGAUGCCGGUUACCCGCGACAGGACGGAAAGACCCCGUGGAGCUUUACUGUAGCCUGAUAUUGAAAUUCGGUACAGUUUGUACAGGAUAGGUAGGAGCCUUAGAAGCGUGAGCGCUAGCUUACGUGGAGGCAUUGGUGGGAUACUACCCUAAUUGUAUUGGAUUUCUAACCCGCAGCACUUAUCGUGCUGGGAGACAGUGUCAGGCGGGCAGUUUGACUGGGGCGGUCGCCUCCUAAAGAGUAACGGAGGCGCUCAAAGGUUCCCUCAGAAUGGUUGGAAAUCAUUCAUAGAGUGUAAAGGCAUAAGGGAGCUUGACUGCGAGACCUACAAGUCGAGCAGGGUCGAAAGACGGACUUAGUGAUCCGGUGGUUCCGCAUGGAAGGGCCAUCGCUCAACGGAUAAAAGCUACCCCGGGGAUAACAGGCUUAUCUCCCCCAAGAGUUCACAUCGACGGGGAGGUUUGGCACCUCGAUGUCGGCUCAUCGCAUCCUGGGGCUGUAGUCGGUCCCAAGGGUUGGGCUGUUCGCCCAUUAAAGCGGUACGCGAGCUGGGUUCAGAACGUCGUGAGACAGUUCGGUCCCUAUCCGUCGUGGGCGUAGGAAAUUUGAGAGGAGCUGUCCUUAGUACGAGAGGACCGGGAUGGACAUACCUCUGGUGUACCAGUUGUCGUGCCAACGGCAUAGCUGGGUAGCUAUGUAUGGACGGGAUAAGUGCUGAAAGCAUCUAAGCAUGAAGCCCCCCUCGAGAUGAGAUUUCCCAACUUCGGUUAUAAGAUCCCUCAAAGAUGAUGAGGUGAAUAGGUUCGAGGUG